AACGAACGCUGGCGGCAUGCCUAACACAUGCAAGUCGAACGCCUAUAGCAAUAUAGGAGUGGCGCACGGGUGAGUAACGCGUGGGAACCUGCCCCGAGGUGGGGGAUAACCGAUGGAAACGUCGGCUAAUACCGCAUACGUCCUAAGGGAGAAAGAUUUAUCGCCUUGGGAGGGGCCCGCGUCGGAUUAGCUAGUUGGUGGGGUAACGGCCUACCAAGGCGAUGAUCCGUAGCUGGUCUGAGAGGAUGAUCAGCCACACUGGGACUGAGACACGGCCCAGACUCCUACGGGAGGCAGCAGUGGGGAAUAUUGGACAAUGGGCGCAAGCCUGAUCCAGCAAUGCCGCGUGAGGGAUGAAGGCC
rnacentral:rRNA from 1 species